AGAGUUUGAUCAUGGCUCAGAUUGAACGCUGGCGGCAGGCCUAACACAUGCAAGUCGAACGGUAACAGGAAGCAGCUUGCUGCUUUGCUGACGAGUGGCGGACGGGUGAGUAAUGUCUGGGAAACUGCCUGAUGGAGGGGGAUAACUACUGGAAACGGUGGCUAAUACCGCAUAACGUCGCAAGACCAAAGAGGGGGACCUUCGGGCCUCUUGCCAUCAGAUGUGCCCAGAUGGGAUUAGCUUGUUGGUGAGGUAACGGCUCACCAAGGCGACGAUCCCUAGCUGGUCUGAGAGGAUGACCAGCCACACUGGAACUGAGACACGGUCCAGACUCCUACGGGAGGCAGCAGUGGGGAAUAUUGCACAAUGGGCGCAAGCCUGAUGCAGCCAUGCCGCGUGUAUGAAGAAGGCCUUCGGGUUGUAAAGUACUUUCAGCGGGGAGGAAGGUGUUGUGGUUAAUAACCGCAGCAAUUGACGUUACCCGCAGAAGAAGCACCGGCUAACUCCGUGCCAGCAGCCGCGGUAAUACGGAGGGUGCAAGCGUUAAUCGGAAUUACUGGGCGUAAAGCGCACGCAGGCGGUCUGUCAAGUCGGAUGUGAAAUCCCCGGGCUCAACCUGGGAACUGCAUUCGAAACUGGCAGGCUUGAGUCUUGUAGAGGGGGGUAGAAUUCCAGGUGUAGCGGUGAAAUGCGUAGAGAUCUGGAGGAAUACCGGUGGCGAAGGCGGCCCCCUGGACAAAGACUGACGCUCAGGUGCGAAAGCGUGGGGAGCAAACAGGAUUAGAUACCCUGGUAGUCCACGCCGUAAACGAUGUCUACUUGGAGGUUGUGCCCUUGAGGCGUGGCUUCCGGAGCUAACGCGUUAAGUAGACCGCCUGGGGAGUACGGCCGCAAGGUUAAAACUCAAAUGAAUUGACGGGGGCCCGCACAAGCGGUGGAGCAUGUGGUUUAAUUCGAUGCAACGCGAAGAACCUUACCUGGUCUUGACAUCCACGGAAGUUUUCAGAGAUGAGAAUGUGCCUUCGGGAACCGUGAGACAGGUGCUGCAUGGCUGUCGUCAGCUCGUGUUGUGAAAUGUUGGGUUAAGUCCCGCAACGAGCGCAACCCUUAUCCUUUGUUGCCAGCGGUCAGGCCGGGAACUCAAAGGAGACUGCCAGUGAUAAACUGGAGGAAGGUGGGGAUGACGUCAAGUCAUCAUGGCCCUUACGACCAGGGCUACACACGUGCUACAAUGGCGCAUACAAAGAGAAGCGACCUCGCGAGAGCAAGCGGACCUCAUAAAGUGCGUCGUAGUCCGGAUUGGAGUCUGCAACUCGACUCCAUGAAGUCGGAAUCGCUAGUAAUCGUGGAUCAGAAUGCCACGGUGAAUACGUUCCCGGGCCUUGUACACACCGCCCGUCACACCAUGGGAGUGGGUUGCAAAAGAAGUAGGUAGCUUAACCUUCGGGAGGGCGCUUACCACUUUGUGAUUCAUGACUGGGGUGAAGUCGUAACAAGGUAACCGUAGGGGAACCUGCGGUUGGAUCACCU
rnacentral:rRNA from 1 species